rnacentral:rRNA from 1 species
CCUACGGGUGGCAGCAGUGAGGAAUAUUGGUCAAUGGACGCAAGUCUGAACCAGCCAUGCCGCGUGCAGGAUGACGGCCCUAUGAGUUGUAAACUGCUUUUGUACGAGAGUAAACGCAGACACGCGUAUCCGUCUGAAAGUAUCGUACGAAUAAGCAUCGGCUAACUCCGUGCCAGCAGCCGCGGUAAUACGGAGGAUUCAAGCGUUAUCCGGAUUUAUUGGGUUUAAAGGGUGCGUAGGCGGUGCGGUAAGUUAGAGGUGAAAUUCCGGAGCUCAACUGUGGGAAGUGCCCUUGAUACUGUUUGGCUAGAAAGUAGAUGCGGUAGGAGGAAUGUAUGGUGUAGCGGUGAAAUGCUUAGAGAUCAUACAGAACACCGAUUGCGAAGGCAUCUUACGAAGCUACUUUUGACGUUGAGGCACGAAAGCGUGGGGAGCAAACAGGAUUAGAUACCCUAGUAGUC